CCUCCUCGCCAUUGACAGGGCGCUAUUUUCAGGGAACAUCCAGUGCUGUGCUCCGGACAAAAGGAUCCAGGGGCAGCCACAGCUUCUUAUAUCUCUCCUUGCAUCCUUAGGAAUUGUGUGGGAGCCCCAAAUCGCCCUCCUGGACCCCCAAGUGCUGGUGACACAGCCCAGGCUGAGCCAUUGCCUGGUGAUGCUCAGUUUUGGGGUGGAAGAGUUCUCUGCUCUGGAGAAUGAGGACAGAGGGGAAAAGCUCAUGGGAGUCAUUCAUGGAGUAAAUUGAGCGUCAGAGGGAGGAAAUAUUCCGUGUUCACCCAGCUUGUUCCCUGUGUGGUGAAGAUGAACCAUCAGUUGGGCUUUGGGAUUAUCCUCUUGGAAAUAAAAAGGCAAA